AUUGAACGCUGGCAGCAUGCUUUACACACGCAAGUCGAACGGUAACAGGCCGCAAGGUGCUGACGAGUGGCGAACGGGUGAGUAAUGCAUCGGAACGUGCCCAGUCGUGGGGGAUAACGCAGCGAAAGCUGCGCUAAUACGGCAUACGAUCUCUGGAUGAAAGCGGGGGACCGAAAGGCCUCGCGCGAUUGGAGCGGCCGAUGUCAGAUUAGGUAGUUGGUGGGGUAAAGGCCCACCAAGCCAACGAUCUGUAGCUGGUCUGAGAGGACGACCAGCCACACUGGGACUGAGACACGGCCCAGACUCCUACGGGAGGCAGCAGUGGGGAAUUUUGGACAAUGGGCGCAAGCCUGAUCCAGCAAUGCCGCGUGCAGGAAGAAGGCCUUCGGGUUGUAAACUGCUUUUGUACGGAACGAAACGGUCCGGGCCAAUACCCUGGGCUAAUGACGGUACCGUAAGGAUAAGCACCGGCUAACUACGUGCCAGCCGCCGCGGUAA
rnacentral:rRNA from 1 species